rnacentral:rRNA from 1 species
UACAGAGGUCUCAAGCGUUGUUCGGAUUCAUUGGGCGUAAAGGGUGCGUAGGCGGCGCGGUAAGUCGGAUGUGAAAUCUCGGAGCUUAACUCCGAAACUGCAUUCGAUACUGCCGUGCUUGAGGACUGGAGAGGAGACUGGAAUUUACGGUGUAGCGGUGAAAUGCGUAGAUAUCGUAAGGAAGACCAGUGGCGAAGGCGGGUCUCUGGACAGUUCCUGACGCUGAGGCACGAAGGCCAGGGGAGCAAACAGG